rnacentral:rRNA from 2 species
CCUGGCGGCACUAGCGCGGUGGUCCCACCUGACCCCAUGCCGAACUCAGAAGUGAAACGCCGUAGCGCCGAUGGUAGUGUGGGGUCUCCCCAUGUGAGAGUAGGGAACUGCCAGGU